CAAGACGAAAUACUUUUAAAAACUAUAUAAAAAAAAUAAAAAAAACUAGUAUACAACUGUUUUACAUAUAUAUCUUCUUUUUUCUUAUUCAAAAAUUUCGUUCUUUUUUUUUCUUUUUACCACAUAAGUUGAAUGAUAUUUUUAAUUAUAUUAUUUAUAUACGACAAAGUGUUAACUUAGAAGGAGCAAAUAAAAACUUUUUUACUUUUUGUGAUAACAUUUAUAUGAACAGUAACCCUAAUGGAAGUAAUCAUUAUAUUGGUGGCAGUAAUAAUAUAUACUACCAAGGAAAUUUCGUCGAAUGCUUUGUAAACUCGCUGAAAUGUAUAUAUUCCGAGUGGUUAAACAUAAUAAACUUGUUAUAUAAUUAUCACACGUUACAAAUUUCAAAGCAGUAUAAUAUAUUUCUUGUGAAUGAUGAGCAAUUUGUAAUAUUAUUAGAAAGGUUACAACAAAUUAAGCUCCUCAAUUAUAUAAAAUUUGAAGAUUUUGUUAUUUUAAAGAGAAAAAAAGAGAAAAAAAAAAAAAAGUACAGACAGAGGUUGUUACUACAUCAACAGGAAAAUCAAAGAUCCCAAGGCGGUUAUAAUAGUAUUGUGCAACAUAUACAAGAUCAUAACGUUAUGUGUGAUGUUGUGUGUGAUGUCGUGCGUAACGAUGGGUAUAAUUUUUACCCAUUUAGAACUGAUAACAUGGUCGAACAUGAUAGUGCAAAUGAGACUACAAAAACAAGCGGUGGAAAAAACAACAAAACACAUAUAGACCUUAACAACAUUUCCAAUUUCAGGUCAUUAAGCUUAAUUCAUUUUCAGUUUUUAAUUAGCAAAUAUUUACGCAUGUGGAGCAGUUUAUACGAUUUUUUAAAUUGUAUUUUAUCAUAUUUAUUAUAUAAUAUUAAUAUAUAUGAUUAUAAUUAUUUCAACUUAAAUUAUGACAACGCGAAAAAGUUUUGUAUUUGCUAUGACAUGAUUUUACUUUUUUGGAGAAACAGUCAAAUAAUGAAUAAUAAAUCAUUGGAAAAAAUAUUUCGUUUUUUAUUAAAUGAUUUGAAUAUAUAUUAUACAAAGCAUAUAAAUAAUUGGAUUAAAAAAGGGAAAGUAGAUGAUAAGUUUAAUGAAUUUUUUGUAUAUUUAAAAAAAAAAAAAAAAGAAGAAGAAGGAGGAGGAGAAAGAAAAAUACAAAAUUAUGAACAAUCAGAUUAUAACGAUCAUAUGCUUUUUAUAAAAAAACAAAAUGACUUUGUUUUAUGUCCAGAAUUUUUUAAUUCAUAUAUAUUUUUUUUAAUUAGCUUGGGAAAUAAUGUUCGUUUGUAUAUGAAAAUAGACUAUGAAAAAAGUGAUAUUGAUUAUGUUGAUUAUUAUUUAAAAGAAGGAGCUUACGCAAACACAAACACAAACACAACCAUAGAAAAAAAUGCUUACUUGGAUAAACGAAAAAAAAAGAAGGUCCACAAAAUAGUAAACAGUGCAGAUGGUUAUGGUUAUAAAAUAAGUGGUAAUAACAAUGCGUACUGCCUGAAUUCUUAUGACGAACACAAUGAAAAUACAUACCCAAAUAAUGCUUUCAUUUUUUAUAAAAAUCGAUCUUCUCAUUUUAAAAAAUUACACGAAAAUACACUUAAUUAUUAUUAUAAUUUGGAAAAUGUAAAAAGAAAUAAUAACAGUUCGUUAGAUAUAUUAUCCAAGUUUUUAAAAAAAAGUAAAAAUAAAAAAAUAGGUUUACCAUAUUUUAAAAAAAAUGUUAUGUCAUUAAAUAUAUCAUAUGACUUAUUUAUUCAAAAAUAUAUACAAGAACAUUUUUUUAAUCUUUAUCAAACCAGUAAUCGUAUAUUUGUUUAUAGUUUAAUGAGACAUUCCUAUUUUAUAGAAUAUUUUGCUUGUUUCCGUAGCGUAACAUUUCUUGAGAUUACUGAUUACAUUUAUCCUUUCUUGGAACUUAUUUUUAAAGAAACACAAACUCCUAUUAUAGAUGAAAGAAAUUUGAAUUUUACUUUUAAACAAUGUGUUAUGCAAAAUUCGGAUUUAAUUUAUAAAACACCAUUAGACCAACAUGGUAACAACAAAUCCAAACAAACAAAUAAAGACAUUAUAUGUGAUAGUACAUAUUCUUGUGCGUCUUUUCUACAUAACAAGUUUGUUUUAACACACAUAAAUAUAUUACUCUCAAAGGAUGAUGAUACGUCUGGUGCACUAAGUUAUAAAUUGAUUUAUGAUACUACUCCUGUUAGUGAUAACCUUAGUGUGGAUAAUAUUAAUGCAAACAGAACCCAUAACGAUGCUAGGCAAGAUGGUACAAACCAAAAUGGUGAUAAGCAAAAUGGCACAAACCAAAAUGGUGAUAAGCAAUAUGGCACAAACCAAAAUGGUGAUAAGCAAGAUGGCACAAACCAAAAUGGUAAUAAGCAAGAUGGUACAAACCAAAAUGGUAAUAAGCAAGAUGGUACAAACCAAAAUGGUAAUAAGCAAGAUGCCCGUGUCAACAAAAAGCAACAACGGAUGUGCAAAGAGUUAUUAUCCAAUUUUUACAAAGAAGAAAUAAUCAGUACUAUAUUAAACAAAUUUUAUUUUAAAUUAAAAAAAAAUAACAUAUAUGAUAAUAAUAUAAAUGCUAUAAAAUAUCGUAAUUUAAUUAUUAAAACAAAAGGGGCACCAUUUAUAAAUUUUUUUUUUGAUUCGAACUGCUUAGACAAAUAUUCAGCUAUUUUUUCUUUUUUCUUAGAAAUAAAAAAAUCUUUACAUAUAUUAAAUUUGGUUCAUAUAUUUUAUAAAUUUUUAAAAAGCAAAAAAACAACAGCUGUACAAAAACAUUAUGAUAACAAUUUCCAUUCUAUUAUUAACUUUUUAUAUAUGCUAAAAUAUAAAACAUAUUUUUUUUUUAAUACCUUAUAUACAUAUUAUCAAUGGGUUUUAACUUUUGCUUGGAAUAAUUUUUUAUUCAAAUUAUCUCAAACUAGGUCCUUAUAUCAUAUUAAAACAGAUCAUGAGCUUUAUUUAGAUUUUUUAGUAGAAACAAUGUUAUUACCAAUAAGCACAGAACAUGAAGAGAUACAUAACAUAUACAUAAAUAAUGAUUACAAACAGAAUAAUAACAAAAUAUAUGAACAAUUUGAAAAAAAACUAUACAAUUAUACGAAUGAUUAUUCAAAUCGUAGUAACAAUAAUAAUAAACAAACAAGAAAAGGAUUAUUAUAUAAUGACUACAACUUGAACGGUGCUAACUUAAAAUAUAAACAUGAACCAAAUAAUAUAUCAAAUAGGAUAGGCAACAUAAUAGGGGACGGAAUAGGGGACGGAAUAAGAGAUAGUAGUAACAAAUAUAAUGAACAAACAAACAAUUAUGACAACACACACCAACAAAAUCAAAAUAUAAAUAAUAACCUAGGAAGAAAUAUGAUUAAUAAAAAAUUUUUACUGAAUGAAUUAUUUGCUAAUAAUAUUUUAAACUUACUAUUUAUACCAUCUCAAAUAUAUGAAAUUUUAGUCAAGCUAAGUAAAUAUUUUAAUAUUAAGUUUGAUUUAAAUUUUGAUAACUCUUAUGAUGAGCUUUACGAGUAUGAAAAAAAUGAUUAUGAUGGCGGGAAAAUGAGACGUAGUGGUAACUACAUUAACUACAACGAUGAUGGCGCAUAUGAUGAAGUAAAAGAGAGUAUAAUAAAUAGUAACACAUCAUAUAAAGACUUACAAAAUGCUAAUAAUACGAACAACACAACAAAUUAUACUGAUAAGGAACAAAUAACAUUUUACAUACAAAACGAAAUAAAAACACUUUCAAAUAUAUUUGAUUUACAUUAUUCAGAAUUUAUAAAAAAAUUAAACAUUAUAUCUUUUAAUACAGAAACAAAUAGUUUUUUUAGGCCGCAAAAAAACUCAGAAUUAUUUAAUUGUGUUAUUAGAUUAAAUAAAAACAUUUUAAAAAGGGUUUCCAUUUUGGAAUAUAUGUUAUCAUUUCAUACGUUCAAUGUUGACGAAAACAGUGAAAAGUUGUGUUUGUUAUGAGGUUAAGUGUGUGCUCAUACAUACAUACAUACAUACAUACAUACAUAUAUAUAUAUAUAUAUAUGUAUUAUGUAUAUAUUUUUUUGGACCUGCUGCUCCCCCUGUUGUUUAUUUAUAUAUUUUAUUUUUUUUUAUGCGCACUUACAUAUAUAUAUAUAUAUAUAUUCUAGGUGAUAAUUAAAACAACUGUUU
rnacentral:lncRNA from 1 species